UAAUCGGUCGUGUUAAUGGCGCUGGCUACAAACGCAGCUAAUGAUGAGUAAUGAAGUUGAGCUCAGGUUAUUGUGUUGUGUGAUGAAUUCCCAUACGUUUAUUUAUUUGUAGCGACCUAGCACGAUAUCAAAACUGACCGAUUUUGAAAUUAAAUCCACCGGAACAAUUUGCACGGCCGCGGACCGCGAUCGCAAUUUCUACGAGUUUGUUAUUUUUUGCGCAAGUUCACUUCGAGUUAUGUGUUUCAGCGGUAUUGAGUUUAUAGUUACAACAUGAAAACUAUUAGUUUCUAAAAUUCCUCUUUUUUUAUUAAACGGUUGCAUAUUACUGAGGAAAAAAAUCGUGCAGCCGUCUGUUGCUUCAUGAAGUAUCUUCAGGAAGACCAAGAAGAGUUCUUUUAAGACUGUCAGAAAUGAAAGAUGAAUGAAUGGGAACUCCUACAUGUAAUGCUCCAAUCAAACAGACCUUGAGCUCAAGAAGACACGGCGAUCUAGAGAAAAAGACACAUGCUCUGCGCAACAAGUGAGCUGAGACCGUCACUCAAAGCAAAGGUUACAACGCCCUUGAUGGUACUCCAGAUGAUCUGAAGAUGCUGGAGCUGUUUUAUCACGCGGCUCUUCGGGGGCCUAGAGGCAGGACUCUGAGGGACAACACAGCUUUGGGCCCUGAAUCAAUAUUUAAAGAUUGGAGUGUUGCUUUCCAAGAUCUCCGCUGCCAAAUCUGUCACUCUUUUAAAAUGUGAUCUGAUGAGAUUGACAGAUUACUGACUGAAGUCUGGGGACACUUCAGAUCUCCUGCGGCACAUGCGAGAAGAUGAGAACUCCUGUGUGUUUGUGUAUCCAUGUCUCGGUGCAUUACCAGAGAGGUCUGACCCACAUAUAUAGACGGCAGAAUCCACACCCCCAUACGCGCAUGCUUCCACAUACUAAAACUCAGGCGAGCGGCAGGGAGAAUAGAGAAAUUAAAUUGAAAAGUAAAAAAUAAAUUGGAAAGUAAAGCUCUGGAUCGACUACGGUAUCUCAAGUGGCUCAAAUUUAGCCCAUAAUUACCAAGCCCUGUGAACACACACACAAGUCCACAUCUUGAAAGGGCUUUUCAUCACCAAAAGUCAAUGUUAUCACCAUAGCAACAAGGGUGAGUCUCACCAUUAUCCACAUUUACAGCGAGCGACUGCCGAGGACACCACACCUGCCAAGGCGCAGUCUGCCUACCCAGAAUUCCUGCUUUCAUUUCAUAAGAAUCUGCUUUUCUACAGAAGCAUGAUUUAUCUGCAUCCUGUGGAUCAAUUGGAGGCACUUUAACGAGAUUCGAAUCGUGUUCCCCUUCUGAAUGGGCGACGCUCAAAUAAAGAACGCAUUUUCCAAUUCCCGUUCCUUACGACGAGAGGGACACGUACAUACAUUGAAUGUUGUAGUCUUUUUCUGUCGCUAUCCUUAAGGGGGUCUCCCGUGGAGCGAUUCUCUUGCAAAUUACAUCGGCGUGAAAGCAGAACGCCAUUAACAGCUCUCUCGCAUCCUGUCAGUAGUUUAUCCACAAAACUCACAGAUGUUUCUCUCAAAGGUCUGUGCUAACCACAUAACAAAUUGCAGUAAGACAUGACAGCCUGUCGACCCCUGACAAAACAAGAAUCUCUUCCUAUCUUCUUUGCCCUACGAGAGAUAGAAAUAUAAUGCCAACAAAUGGAGCAAUUAAAGCUUCACUGAUCUUUGAGUUGUGCAGAAGAGAGCAGUGAAAGGCAGACGGCCCUCCUACGGAGAAUGUCUAUUGAAAGUCAUCAGGAAAAUACGCUUGCCAAUCAGUUCCGGGAAAAGACUUAAAAUACAGUCCAGAGCACUAUGUCAGAGGGAACAUUUGCUGUCUAGGAUUUAAAGCCUACUAAUUAUGGUCUUGGCUUUGGCUGGAGGCGGAAGCUUCGAUGUUUUCUCGCUCUUCCACAUUUGUAAGUAAAGCACAGAGUUUAUGAAAAAUGUCACAGGAAUGAAAGUUCCACAGCAGUGCUGACGUAUUGGAAAUAUCGGGGUUUCAUUUUUGCACAGAGAGGAAGAAAGAAUGCACAAGGUGUUUUGAAUAUGUGUACCGCAAUCUGCAUUCUGCAAGGCUGAAGAAUAAUGAGUAGUGCCACUUGUAGUGCCAAGGCUCUCUUCGUAUAAAAAAAAAAAAACACCACUGCUGUCAGCUCGGAGCAGAACAGCAUUAGUUUACUUCAUGAUAGAGGAGCCCAAUCAGAUCUAACCUCUAAUGAUGCCUUAGCUGCUUUAGUUAGCCCCGGCGACCGAAGGUCAGAGGUCACAGCGAGUUUGAAGGUAAACAUGGCAGGUAAAAGACUGAACUUUGCUCUCUAGCCAUAACAGGGUUGUGCUCCAUUUUAGAAGUCAAUUGAGAAUUCCAAUUCAUCUUCUGAAUUUCAACUGAAACAGCAAAAGAUGUAAUUUAAGUAGAAGUAGAAUGGAAAUUCUAAAAAAAAAAAAUAUAACUAAACUAUGAAAAAAGAUAGAAGCAUGGAAUUUCCAAGAAUUAAUUACCUUGAAUAGCAGAAAAUCAAUAUGUUCCUCUUCCUGUGACUCUAAUCAUCCUAAUUAAGCUUCCUGAACUCAAACUUCUGUACAACCCUGCUCCAUAAAUGGGGGUUUUAAUUCAUUAAAAAUGUCUGUUAUCGUAAAUAUGGCUAAAUGAGCUCAAUUUGUGGGUGGGCUGAGUGUUGCAUACGCCAAACAAAAGGAAUGGCUUUUAAUUUCGAAAAAAAUUCAGAACAUCUUUUGUGUCACUGCCAGACUUUCAUCUUGUUUGGAAGCUAUUAUGCUUCUCCUUGGAAAACCCACUUUCUUUUCUCUCCAAAAAUACAGGCACGAGUGCUGGAGGUCUGCAGUGUUGAUGUAAUGCAGGAGAGGGCCAGAGAAAAUGCUGCUAAUGUACCUGUUUAAAUAGGCUCGGGCUCAGAGAGUAUAUGAGGGAGAGUGGGCAUACUCACAUCCUCUCAAACACACUCUGCGACUGGGGAUGUAAUUGCAACCACGGGGCCCUGCAGUUUUCACAGUGACACUAUUCAGUCACUUUGGAUUUACGGGCUUGGGGAAAGAACGUAAUUUCUUUGAGAAACAAGGUGAAACAGCCGAAGAAACAAGCAAGACGUUCCUAAUAAAUCAAACCGUUCUGAGCUACACAAUGAUGCAUCGUUUUAAAGAUUAACUAUAUUAAACGUAAACGUGUUUUGCUGCGGUUUUGAAAGUAAAGAUCGUAUAAAUCAUAUUUAGACACAUUCUGCCUCAAAAAGCAUAUUUUUCUUCUUGUUAGCCUCUCUAUUGUUGUUCUGUGUAGACUGAUGAAACAAUACAGCUGCACCCGGCUCCUGUGAGAAAUAAUAUGCUAGACUGAGAGGGCAGACAUCAGUUUGGCGUUCACUUUAUUUCUUUCUUCUCACUGCAGGUGGGGCGAACACUGGCAUGGCUUGAGAGAAACGAGAUUUCCUAUUCUGUACUUUUUUAAUCAUGACUAUGUACUGUUAUUAAUAAUAGUAAUACAUAAAUUAAUAAUAAAACUGGUCUCCAAACACACUUUUCAGAAAAGUGUCUCCAAACACACUUUAGAAAAUAAUGUAAGAAUUAUUAUUAUUAUUUAUUCUACAGUUACACCUAUUUGUUGCUUAUUAGUAUGCAUAUUACUAGAAUAUUAGCCAUUUAUUAGUGCUAAUAAAGCACAUAUUAAUGCCUUAUUCUACAUGACCUUAUUCUAUAAUCUUUCGCAAUACCUAAACAUAACAACUAACUUAAUAACUAUUAAUAAAACAGCAAAUUAAGAAUUUAUUGAGGGAAAAGUAGUUCAUAGUUAACAAGUGUUAACUAUUAUAAAAUGUGUUACUAUUGUUAUUAUUAUUAUUUUUAAAUCUAUCUAUCUAUCUAUCUAUGAACCUCGUUCCAUGCCUAUUCUUUGUAAUAAGUGAACCAUUAAACCUCAAGGCAGGUUUAUUUGGAUAUAUGUGAUUUGAAUAAAUGUUUUGCAAGCAUUGUUCAUCUCAUUCAUGUCAUUCAUUUCAGGCAGAGGAAGUGGCCGGGAGGUCCUGGGUGGCUUUGCGGCACGUCGGUCCAGGAUGGGGGUCAUGUUGGGAACCUUGUCUCCACUCUAACACUAUCGCAAGCUGCCAUGCACGGGCUCAGACAAGCCAGGCAGACGCUGGGGGCUUCCCACGAGGGAGAGUCCAAGUGCUGUUGUCAUCCCAGCCAGGCAAUUCAGUCUGUGCACCAUAAAUCAGCCGCGAGCCCUCAGCCCUGCGGGACCACAAGAUGGAGUGUGAUGGUCUUCUUUUUACAAACAGUGGAGGAGGAUGCGUCACUGAGCCACGAAGACGGCACUCGGUGCAGAGACCUUGCCAUCUAGAGCAGCUCUCCAGCAUUCUCACUCCAUCUGCUCGCUCCCUGUCUUCCUUUUUUUUUUUCUCCCUCCCUCUUUCACACCAUUCAGAAAAUUAGUCUGUUUGUCUUACCCCUGUACAUCUGCUUCUCUGUCUUCUCUUCUCAAUUCUGUGACUCUUUCAGGAAAGUGACCUUGACGUUCUCCGUCUUCCUUUGGCUCGGUUAUUAAUUAUUGAGGAUAUUAUACUCGCUGCUUAGCCUUGUUAAGAACUGUCACACGGAUGGCAAAUCAAGGGAUCCCUAUGUCUGCUUCUGUGUCUUAACAUUAGUACCAGUCAAUUUAUCAGGAAGUAAAUGAGGGUCCGGUCUACCCUGCUCUGGGAAGUGUGUCUGACAGCCAGUCUCCUCAGUGAAGCCAUCUGCAGUCCUUUAGUCUCAAACCCACACUGACAGCUCAACUUAUAUCAGUGGUUUACCACCGCACCUUUCUUUUUCGACUGCUGCCUUUGUGUGAAUUAGUGCCAUAGCUCCAAAAUAUGUCUCCCCGCCUCUCCUCCCGCCCCAUCAGACCCUCUGUGGCUGGUCCUAGUUAAAGAAUGAAUUUCUAAACUGGUGCUGACAAACAAUGCGGUAGCUGUAGAUUGGUACAAACAGUAUCUGCUUAACAGCUGUGUAACUGCAUGAGGGAAAAAGACAUCGUGAUGCUGUAUUAUGAAUCACUUUGAAGCAAAAAUGAGCUGCUUUAUGUUGGGAAAGAGGAGGGUGGAGGCCAGCAAAUGGACUGCUUGAUGUUGUGGUAAUGAGCUGAGCAUGUGCUUCACACAGGUACAAUCUAUUUCUUUACUUUAUGGUAAGAGACUGUUUAGUAGCAUUAUUUGUUUACAACAGCAUUACGUCGUAAUUGUUACAGAUGCGUUUUAUAUGCCGUGAGUCAUCGCUUGCCAACAUUUACUAUGAACUCAGUCAGAGGAUUUCAAGCUUUUGAUACCGUAGACUGCCAAAUAUUAUAAUCUGCUUACUAGAGACCCCCUUCUUAAAAUUAAAAUAAUAUAAAAUAUUACUUUAAGUACAUUAUUAAAUUCAUUUAAUAUAACUAAUAUCCAGUACUACUUUUAUAUUUUGUGCUGUUUUUUGUUUUGUUUUUUAAGCUACCGAAUUGCACUAGAAAAUUUGAAAGCUGAAAAUUUUAGCAUGUGAUGAUAUGGAGCCAUUUUGUGCAUAAGGCAUCUUAAGCAUAGUUUAGUCAUGGCUGUCUACAGUGAUUUAAUUUAACCAUUGAAAUUAAAAGGUUGAUUAUGAAGGAUGAAUGUUUUCAUGGUAACUUCUACAAUCUUUCUGCUCUUUAUUAUAUAGAAAGCCAAAGCUUCAGAGUCACUAUGUGCAGCUGAACUGAGCUAAAGGGUUAGAGUCCCUUGAGGAAAGCCAGAGACCUACGUCAUCUCCCUGUUGCCGUGCCACUGCACCCUUAAAGCUCUCCACUGAAUAGUGCCAUGGCCUGAAAAGCAGAUAGCAUGCUAACACAGGGUCAAGCGACCUUUUAGAGGCCACUGAUAUAAAACAUGAGGAAAUAUUUGACAGAAAACAGGAUUUUAUGUCUGUGGGUUUGGAAAUUACAGAUUAGCUCAUUAGUUCUGCACAAGCACAGAGAAGGCCAUUGUAGUGGUACUCAGCCACAGAGUUCUCGAUAAUGGUGACCCUAAAAUUAACCCGAUUCAUAGAUCUGGCACCCACCAAGACACGCACACCAAAGCAGCCAGUCGCAAUAGCCGGCUCGUCUUUUCCAAAAGGAUUGGUUUGUAAAGGACAUCUUUAAAUACUUUUUACGAAUGCUGCAUUCUGUGUUUAAGCUUGACCGAGCAAUGUAGCUAAUUUACUCAGAAACCCUUGAGUCUGAGAGGAGCGAGAGGGACAAAGCAGACAGUAAAUUACAUCUGUAAGGGGACGGGCUGGGCUUUGGGGGUUGAGGGUUUGGAUGAGCAGGGAGGGGGGAGUUGAAUGGAGGACGCAAACUCACUGGCUGCAGUGAAUUAAAUCAUCUGCGAGAAGCACGUUGCUGGAGUCAGUGAACCCCCUCUGAAAUCUUUAGGCCGGUCUCUUUACUUGCAGCAAGCCUAUGAGAUAUUCUUCUAUUAGGGCUUUAUUUGCUAUUCAUAAAGCAUUCAGCCUAGAGAAUGUAACGUGCUUCAGGGCAGGGGUGGCAAAAAAUAGAUUUGUGGGUGGAUGAAUGUACAGUUUUUCCUCUGUUUAUUUUGUGUCUCUUGACCUUCCGUCUUUUAAAUUCUUUUAUUCAAUUAAUGCUUGCAUACAAUUUUAGUUUAGAAAAAGAUAAAAGAAAAAGUAACUAUAAUUCAGUCUAAUAUAUUUUACACUAUUAAAUUAGUAACGUAAAUGUCUCCAUUGUCUCAACUCCACUUUUAAACUAUUUAAUGCAUCCUUGCUAAAUAAGUGUUAAAGUGUCUUUUUGACUACAAACUUUUGAAUAUAUAUAAUUAGACGUGUUAAUGUAUACAACAUGUAUACAUUAUGAAAAGAUUAAUGAUUCAAAGACUGGCCAAAACAGAAGUGGCUAUUUAAAGUCCAAAAGAAGAGUUAACUUCCUCUCCCACAGAUUGCUAUUGCUUCAUCUUCCUCCCAUUGUGCUAUUGAAAUGUUUUAGGUUGUUUUUAAGCAUCUUGUUUUAUUCAGUGGGAAUAAAGCCGAUGCCCUGUUCCUGUCAAGCUAAGACUGACACAAACGCACCUGGACACAAUGCAACCUGAGUGCCUAAAAUCAAUGUGUCUUCUCUUCAACAGCUGGGCCCAAAUGCGUCAACCGAAUACUAAUAUCUCCAGACUGUCAUUCCCUGUGAGACGCGUGCGAGCGGCCUGCUUGCAUAGACUCUGUUACAUAAUUAAUGCAGUGUGCCUUCUCAUUCAGGCAUGUUCACUGUGUCAGUCUUGGCUAUGCGUUUUAUAUUCCGUUUUAUCUUGUUUUUCAAGCUGGCCUAUCUCAUUCGCUUUCUUUCAUUCUUUUGUCUCUCACUCUCUUCUUCAUGCCAGUGUCUGCGUCUUUCUCCUACUUUCUUUUAACCGACUCCCUCAUUAUUUCCCACGUGCCCCUUCUGCAUCUCUCCUUCUUUCACAUUCUAUCUUUUCAGGGAGACUGCACACAGCCUGACUGCUUGUUAACGUCCCAUUCAUCUUUAUUUUUCAGAGUUGAUUUACCUAUGUAUGUAAAGGUGGUUAUGGAAGAACUGCCUCUAAUCAUAUCGUCAUUGCCCGGCAUGACAUGAGCUGACAGCCAAUAGGAAGAGCCCUGCUGGCUCACCUGAUGCUUAUAGUGUCACCGAGGUGUGGUGAAAUCCAGGUCCAGGUGCACUAAAGCCGUGCAAGUCGGUAACCGUCUGGCCUCUCACCAGGGACGCCACACCCUGAUUUGUUUUCACAUCCCUAUGGACACUUGCAGUCUUCCUUUUUAUUAGUACUUCAAUAGUCUCCACAGGCCUAAAAACAGCAACUCUCGCUGUGUAGUACUGAGCAAAAUUGACAGGCGGAUCGGCACUGCAGCUGAAAUGGCAGCAGACCUUGCCUUGAAACGCAGCCAGGAGGUGGGGAGGGGACAUAUGUGAUUGCUCAUCUAUAUGCUGCGAAAGCUUACCUUAAAGAAAGAAUGAGUCAUGCAGCUAGCAGAGACUCAGCAGUGGGGCAUAUUCCUCAGUGAAAACCCUGAGAUCACAAACAAGAAGAAAAACAGCAUAGACGAAUGUCAGACUCGAGUUGAGUCAAAGGAAGUUAGUGGGUCAUUGGCGAUGGAAAGCACCCAGUUGUGCCAGAGGGGUGGGUGGGAUUGCGAAAGGCACAAUGUGGGCAGUGUUGCUGUGGCUGAAGUUAAUUGGAUUUCCCUGGUGCCCACUCCUGGCCACAUGCAGGGCCGUGACAUUAAAUGCCCUUAUCCAUGACAGAAGAAUAAGACAGAGUACAGAGAAAGCCACUCGUCUUAAGAAGCCCUACUGAUGGUCCCCAGUCACCUCUCGUGCUCUUUCACAAUUCCAGCUCGACUGGGGCGGUGCUGGACUGCAGGGGUGAGCAGCUUGCAUUUAUGCUGUAAAAAGUGACUGGAGAAAGUAUUGGGAUGCUUGAAUCACUUCAAAAGAUUAUUUUAAAAAUUAAAUAUAAAAAAAUAUAUAUAUAUAUAUAUAUAUUUCUCUGCAAACACAUGAGGCUAGCAGAACUACUUUUCUAACCCCCUUUUAUACUUUUUUUGGGGUCAGUGAGUUUGGGUUUUGAGA